rnacentral:rRNA from 1 species
GUGACUGCGUACCUUUUGUAUAAUGGGUCAGCGACUUAUAUUCUGUAGCAAGGUUAACCGAAUAGGGGAGCCGAAGGGAAACCGAGUCUUAACUGGGCGUUAAGUUGCAGGGUAUAGACCCGAAACCCGGUGAUCUAGCCAUGGGCAGGUUGAAGGUUGGGUAACACUAACUGGAGGACCGAACCGACUAAUGUUGAAAAAUUAGCGGAUGACUUGUGGCUGGGGGUGAAAGGCCAAUCAAACCGGGAGAUAGCUGGUUCUCCCCGAAAGCUAUUUAGGUAGCGCCUCGUGAACUCAUCUCCGGGGGUAGAGCACUGUUUCGGCAAGGGGGUCAUCCCGACUUACCAACCCGAUGCAAACUGCGAAUACCGGAGAAUGUUAUCACGGGAGACACACGGCGGGUGCUAACGUCCGUCGUGAAGAGGGAAACAACCCAGACCGCCAGCUAAGGUCCCAAAGUCAUGGUUAAGUGGGAAACGAUGUGGGAAGGCCCAGACAGCCAGGAUGUUGGCUUAGAAGCAGCCAUCAUUUAAAGAAAGCGUAAUAGCUCACUGGUCGAGUCGGCCUGCGCGGAAGAUGUAACGGGGCUAAACCAUGCACCGAAGCUGCGGCAGCGACGCU